GAUGAAGAACGUAGCGAAAUGCGAUAAGUAAUGUGAAUUGCAGAAUUCAGUGAAUCAUCGAAUCUUUGAACGCAUCUUGCGCUCCUUGGUAUUCUGAGGAGCAUGCCUGUUUGAGUGUCAUUAAAUUCUCAACUACACUGACUUUGAAUUGGUGUGGCUUGGAUUUGGGGGGAAAAUUGUUGUGGGCUUUUUGUAUAGUCUGCUCCCCUGAAAUUGAUUAGCGGUACCUUUGUGGAACUGUCUACAGGUGUGAUAAUUAUCUACAUCUUAGACAUCUGCUGGAAUGCUGCUUUCUAAACCUUACUUGUAUUGACAAUCUUGACCUCAAAUCAGGUAGGACUACCCGCUGAACUUACGCAUAUCAAUAAGCGGAGGA
rnacentral:misc_RNA from 1 species